UUGGGUUUUUCAAAUGUUACAAGAUUCUUUCUCUCCCACAUUCUCUCUCCUCUUUUGCAAUUGGUUUUUUUCAGAUUUUUACGACUCUCUGUCUCUCUGUUUGAGAUGGGUCUCUCUCUGUUUGAGAUGGCUUUUUCAAAUGUUACAAGAUUGUUUCCCACAAACUCUCUCUCGUCCUUUCAAUUUGGUUUUUUUUUGGAUAAUACGAGAUUCUCUCUCUCUCUCUCUCUCUCUCUCUCUGUGCUUUAUUCAUUUGGGUUUUUCAAAUAUUAUGUGAACAACUAUUGUUCCGUCAUUUGUGAUGGUGUGUUUCCUUUGUGUGUCCAAAAUUCAUUAGUUUUGUCAACUUCGAUCGAGGUUCGUGAAAGAUAGAGAGAAAGAGGAGAUAUUGUGGGAGAGGCAGCAUGAAUUCGCGGCUGAGAAGAUAUAUGCAAUGUGUUCUGAACUUGGGGGUUUUUUCUUAAAGGUAAUAUUCAUUGUUUCAGCCUUUCAGGCUUCUUUAAUUUUCUGGAAAAAAUGUGGAUUUUUAAAAGUUUUUGUUCUCUCUCUCUCUCUCUCUCUCUCUCUCUCUCCUCAACUUUGACUAAUUAACCUGUCAUUUAUUAACUGUCACUCAAACCUCUCUCUCUCUUAAUGCCCAAGCUCUGUCUGUUCUCUCUCCAAUUUUUAGAUUAAUUUCCAUCUCUCCUCCAUCUUUCAUGAUUGAAUUAUACCCUCUCUGUCUCUCUCUCUCUCUCUCUCUCUUCCCCUCUGUGACUUUUCCAUCCAAUUCCAUGUCUUAGCCUUCAACCUCUCCUAAAAUUUCAACUGUUUCUUUCUUAUUUUGUGCUCUUUUUAUGGAAUUUUGGUUUCUGAUUUUCUGAUCAAAUUUGAAGUCAGGUUGCUCAGAUAGUGGGGAAGCCAGACCUUGCCCCAGCUGCUUGGGUGAAAAGAUUGGUCACACUUUAUGAUAAAGCUCCUUCUACGCCUUUCGAUGUUGUCCAGUUAGUCCUAGAGCAAGAGUUAGGUUCUAGCCUUGACAAAAUUUUCGAGAGAUUUGACAAAGACCCUAUUGGUUCUGCAUCCAUAGCUCAGGUUAGUCUUAUCUCACAAAUAUGUUUAUUACAUCUUUAAUGAAAUAAUGUCUUCCUCUUAUCACUCUUAUCAUUAUGGUACCUCGUCACUCAUUUAGUCUUAAAUCUCUUAUUCAUUUUCUGUAUUUCUCUGAAAUUUCCUCCGCUUCGACAUUGCUUCUUUUGGCCCUACUCUAUAAGUUGUUUAUUGUGAGAUAUAUUUUUGAGAUAGGUUAUUUCAGUCCUUUAUGUUUAAAUCUCAUUUCUACAUUUAGUAUUGAUUCAUUUAAAUUUCCGUUGCUGUCCUAUUGCCUUUUGGGUUGUACUGUAUUAUACUUCACUGAGUCAAGAAUAAACAUAAAUGAUUAAUUUCAAAGAUAAAAAACCAUGUUGAUUAUCAAGAUACAUGACUCACUUCAUAGCGUUUAUUUUAGCACUUGCUGUUUAAAUCUCAUAUUAAAGAAUUGUAGUAUUGAUUCAUCCAAAUUUCCAUUCUUUCUGUGUUACUAUUCUUGGCCAUAAAUUCUGCUAUACCUCAGUUGUUUGAAUAUCGUUAAAAUGUUUAUUUUUUUGGAAUACACAAUAAUUUGUUUAUUCUUUAAAAAAAAUAAUUUGUUUAUUCUCGUAGAUGCAUUACUCACUUUACAUGGCUUGCUUCAGCCUUUUUUGCGUACAUCUCUUUUUCAAUAUAGUUUUGCCAUUUAUGAAAAUAAGUAUAAAUACCACUCCUUGCCUUUUACUUUUCUUGGCUUUAUACUUGAGUGCAUGAGUAUAAAUUUAAAAGUCUUAAUCUCAUACACACAUAAUGCACCUCCUAUGGGUUAUCCGGUGGUUUCGACUCUUUUAGUUCAUGAAUGGAUUAUUUUGUGUGCCGUAAAACAGGUACACAAAGCAAGGAUUAGAGGUGCAAAGGAUGAUGUUGCAGUCAAGGUAAGCAAAGUUUACUCAUUCGUCUUUUGAAAAAUGAACAAGUUGGCUCUUUCAGUUGUAAUUAGGUUCUUGCAGGUGCAACAUCCUGGAGUUCAGCAUUUAAUGAUGACAGAUAUUCGUAAUUUGAGGGCAUUUGCUUUGUAUUUGCAAAACACAGAUAUAAAUUUCGAUAUUGUCUCAAUAACUACUGAGAUAGAGAAACAGGUAUUUUCCUUUCUACAUGUUUAGGUAAAUUCCUAUGUAGUUUUAUACACUUUUAUUUGGUUUUUUUAUAGUUCAUAUAAAUGUUGCUAACUUUACUGAUCUGAGGGAACUUUUUAAUUCUUUCUUUCUGCUUGACAUGUGAUAUUGUAGUGAUGCAUUUCUAGUAUUUCUUAUUGAAAUUAUUAUUAUCUCUCUGGUUAAGUUAUACUUCUUAUGUAUGUCAACCCAUUGCUCCCUUGUAGGUUGGUUAUGAAUUUGACUUUCAAAGAGAGGCUGAGAAUAUGGAUAAAAUCUCAUGUUUUCUAAGAAAUAAUAGCAAAAAGCCUCCUGUUCGAGUGCCACGAGUCAUUCCGCACAUGGUGACGAGGUGCAAAAAUAUCCAACAAUAUUUCAGAUUUAUUGCGUAAAAGAUCAUGUCACUUCAUUUUAUUCUGAUCAUAGAUUGAUAUAUAGAAUUUUUCCAUUGUGGCACACUUAUGAUUCUCCUUUCUUUCUGUCUUCUGUGGUUUCUUAUUUAACAUAUUUGCAGAUGGCUAAAAAUUUAAUUCCAUUUGUUGUUCACGAAUAAAGCUUUUUAAAAAUAUUCAUGCCCGAGUAGGAUUGCUCUUUGGAUCAAUGAAUCAAGUUUGUCUGCAAUGCUUUGGAAUCUGUACCUCUUUUAUUCCUUUUUAAAGUAUAAAUUUAUACAUUCAUUGUGUUGCAUUUCUGUUAUGGGUUUGAAUCAUAUGAUCCAAAAUUUAUAGUUUACCACAUGUCUACCAGGUUUUAUUUUCUUAAAUAAAUUUCCAUGAAAUGCCAAUGCUUCCUUUCUUAAGCUGUUUUACAUUAUUUUUGCUUUUAAUUUGUUGUUGGAGUGUGAAAACCUGUUGAUUAACUAACCUUUGAAAUGAAUUAUUUGAGUUACUUACGAUGUUUCAGAUCCUUGCUAUAAAGCUUUUCAAAUAUAUGGGAAAAUUUUGAUGGUGUUGUCAGGAAAGUUUUGAUUAUGGAGUUCAUUGAUGGAAUCCCCAUUUUGUGUCUUGGAGAUGAAAUAGCGAAACGAGGCAUAGAUUCUAGUGGGAAGAUGGCAACAGCAGCUAAGAAGUGAGUCCCAGGUUACAUCCAAGAAUGUGAGCUAUAAUCUUCUGUUUUGUGUUGUUGUCAGAUAAUAGCCUUAUAUUUUCUUUUGUUUAAAAUCUUAUUAAACCCUCAUUCUUGGCUGAUUGAGAUUGAACUAUAAUCUGGUUUCCACCCAUAAGCAUAUUCAUAAAUGUUUUUUAAGUUCUAUAAAGAAAUUGACUAGAAUUUAGGUUGGACUUUGUUUAGCAUUUACAUGCACAUAUAUUUGAUUAGUACCGAACAUCCUAUGUAUGGCUUUGUAUAUGUAAUCCUUGUGUGGAUGCGCUGCGGUUUUGUGGGAGCUAUUUUCUUCUUUGUUUUGACAUUAUUAUAAGGGGGCCUUUUUACCCUUUCUUGCUUCAUCUCUAAUAUUCUGAUAUGGUGCAAGACUAACCUUGAACUUGUUGCUAAAUUUUUCCUUCAUUUCUGUGCUGAAUAUUUGUCUUCACAGUCGGUGGAUUUAAGUAUGAUGUGUCUAGCUCCAGAAGUUACUUCCCAUGACCUAAGUACCCAUCAUUACUUGAAAUGUGACUUGCUGAGCAAUUAAUUAUAGACUGCAUUAUCAACUGACCUCAAACUGUUAAGAAUAUUACUGGGUCUAAACUGUGUGGACCUCAAGGUGGAUCAGCCUCCCUUUUAGCAUGAAACUCUGAGAGCUGAACUAUUUGAAUACUAGUGUUUCAAAACAACAUUUUGUUCUCUAAGUUGUAUUUUCUCAUAGAAAGCUAGCGAUAUGUGAAGGUUGUAACAUUGACUUAUUUAAAAUUGUGCUUGGCUGCAGGAACAUAUUACAAAAAUUGUCUUUAGCAUAUGGCCAAAUGAUAUUGAAGAGUGGUUUUUUCCAUGCAGAUCCACAUCCUGGAAAUAUCCUAAUCUAUAAAAACUCUGAGGCAAGUAAAAUACUCGAACCUAGCAAUGCUGUUAUCACAAGCCAUAUUCCUUCUUGUCCAUCAUUAUCUUCAUUUCAGAAUUUUAAAACUCUGUGAGUCCAACUUUGACUCAGACGAGUUUUCGGACCCAACACCUAACUGUGUCCGAGUGGAAAACCUUCAUCUAGCCAGUUUUCAAGGUUCUUUGUUAUUCUUUGUAGACUCUGCCGAGUCCCAUUCUGACUCGUCCAAGUCUGGUUGCUGCCUUGGACCCAGGCCCUGCCUGGUUCCAAGGAUGGGUGUGAGUUUUGAGGCACUGCUUCAGAUUGUUAUGAGAGCUCUUUGUCCUUUAUUUCAUUUUUUGUUUUUCAUUGUUGGAUUUUGUUAUAUCUUCUUUCAACAUUGAAAAACAACAUUUUGCUAAUUUGCUUGCACCUUAGGUAGAAACUUUAAAAUCGGUGUUUGGUAUUCUCCUUAUUUUACCCUAUAGUAUCAAGAUACAGUUGUUAUUAAGCAUUGGAAGAGCUUACUACAUAGAGAAAUGAUCUUGAUACAAGCACAGUCAAUGAAUUUAACAGAAUAGUAUAGCAUACAUGUGGUGUGUGACAUUUCCCUUAGCUUGGCCCUUGUAUUGAGAAGCAGCUGACAUGAAAUAGUCGAAGUGCACUCUUUAUUACUUCAUAAAGAGAUGAACUUAAUUCACCAUGUCCAUGAUUGUAAUCCAGAAAGCAAACACCCCUUAAUCAAUGUUGAUACGUAGAGGAUAAACAAUACGAGCAGAAGCAGGAAUUACUGCAGUCAUGCAUUAAUACUAUGAAAUUCUAUUAUAUUUUACUUCCCCCCCCCCCCCCCCGCCCCCCCCCCAAGUCUUUUGAUCCUUUAUACUUUAAACUGAGAUUGGCUUCAAUUUGAUGUCAUCCUCUUCUAUUAUCACUCAAAGAAACAUAUUGACAAUAAUGAAAUUGCAUAUAUAAUGUUCUUUCUUGCAGGUUGCUCUCCUGGACUAUGGCCAAGUAAAGCAUCUUUCGGACAACUUAAGGCUUGGAUAUGCUAAGCUCAUUAAGGCCAUUGUUCAUAGUGAUACUUCCAUGAUAAUGCAGAGCUUCGAGUACGAAAUUUGUCUUGACUGAUAGAGUGAUACAUUAUCUCUAGUUACAUAAGCCACAUUGUUACAAUUUUAAAAAAAUAAAAAUAAAAGUUGACCGGAGCUACAUUGAUAUGAUGGGAAUAAACAAUCAGUUAUUAUUAAGAAACUAUUUAAUCUCAUGGCAACAAUUUUAGCAGAGGAAUUUUUAUUUUCUUUUCCCUAGUAUAGGUCGAUGUCAUUUAUCACCCUUAACAAUAUGCAAUCAAUUUAUGGUUUUUCUUUUGAGUUUAAUGGUCUUUCUUAUAAUUUGCCAACAUAGGGAGCUUGGAAUGAAAACUAUGAAAGUCUCUGCAGAUUCUGAAAACGAACUAUUGAAACUCGCUCAAACAUUGUUCGAUACUAAGCUUCCUCCGGGGGUACAAGUCAUGACACCAUUUGCAGAUGAUUCUUCCCUCAAGAAAAUCUCUGUUCAAGUAAAUCUUCUCUCUUCUAUUCUAUUCUUUGUCUAUUAUCGUCAUAUUAUAUGGGACAGAAGUCCAAACAUUUGAUCUAACUUUCAAGGGAAAAAAAGGAAGCAGUACUUUUAGAUUAUGAUUUACCUUGACUUGCUUUAUUUUUAUUGGUCGGGUCUAUCAAUUCUUACAGCAAUUAAUUUCUUGCAUCUUGCUGGUAAUAGUUCAC
rnacentral:lncRNA from 1 species